rnacentral:lncRNA from 1 species
GGUCUAAUAUCCAACUGGAAGUAGAAGAAACCAUUAGGUUAGAUUCAAUAAUGAGCCUAUUAGACAUAUCUUCCAAAAGUGUGUCAUCCUUCUUAGACUUCAGAUUUUUCAAGAUAGAGUCUCUUGAACUCUUUAAGGUUCCCUCAGUCGUGACCAACAUAUUGACCAAUUUGGAUAAAGAGCAGUUGAUUUUUUUCAUGGGGUAGUUUAUGAUAAACUGACUAUAUGAACUAG